GACGUAGGGCGCGAGCGUUGUCCGGAUUAUUGGGCGUAAAGAGCUCGUAGGCGGCUUGUCGCGUCGGCUGUGAAAACCCCGCGGCUCAACUGUGGGCGGGCAGCUGAUACGGGCAGGCUGGAGUUCGGUAGGGGAGACUGGAAUUCCUGGUGUAGCGGUGGAAUGCGCAGAUAUCAGGAGGAACACCAAUGGCGAAGGCAGAUCUCUGGGCCGUAACUGACGCUGAGGAGCGAAAGCAUGGGGAGCGAACAGG
rnacentral:rRNA from 1 species